rnacentral:miRNA from 1 species
UCGGGGUAUUCCACAAAAAAUUACCCUGCGGGAUGAAAUAUUCCUCGGGCUUCGCCCUCAGAAUAUUUCAUCCCUCAGGGUAAUUUUUUGUGGAAUACCCCU